AUUGAACGCUGGCGGCAGGCCUAACACAUGCAAGUCGAGCGGAGCGGCGGACGGGUGAGUAAUGCCUAGGAAUCUGCCUGGUAGUGGGGGAUAACGUUCGGAAACGGACGCUAAUACCGCAUACUAUCAGAUGAGCCUAGGUCGGAUUAGCUAGUUGGUGGGGUAAUGGCUCACCAAGGCGACGAUCCGUAACUGGUCUGAGAGGAUGAUCAGCCGAACUGGAACUGAGACACGGUCCAGACUCCUACGGGAGGCAGCAGUGGGGAAGAUUGGACAAUGGGCGAAAGCCUGAUCCAGCCAUGCCGCGUGUGUGAAGAAGGCCUUCGGGUUGUAAAGCACUUUCAGCGAGGAGGCGUUACUCGCAGAAGAAGCACCGGCUAACUCCGUGCCAGCAGCCGCGGUAAUUC
rnacentral:rRNA from 1 species